UACGGAGGGGGCUAGCGUUGUUCGGAAUUACUGGGCGUAAAGCGCACGUAGGCGGCUUUGUAAGUUAGAGGUGAAAGCCCGGGGCUCAACUCCGGAAUUGCCUUUAAGACUGCAUCGCUAGAAUUGUGGAGAGGUAAGUGGAAUUCCGAGUGUAGAGGUGAAAUUCGUAGAUAUUCGCAAGAACACCAGUGGCGAAGGCGGCUCACUGGCCCGGUACUGACGCUGAGGUGCGAAAGCGUGGGGAGCAAACAGG
rnacentral:rRNA from 1 species